AUACCUUUGUCGGCCUUUUGGCUAAGAUCAAGUGUAGUAUCUAUUCUUAUCAGUUUAAUAUCUGAUACGUGGGCCAAUGGUCCACACGAUAUUAACUUAAAUUAUACCUGUUUUUAAUUAGGGAAUGUGAUUUUUAAUUGAAGGGAUAAUCAAAUCAUAUAGUUGUGUUUUAAAAAGUUGUCAACCAAA